AAAGAGGCAGCGACAUCAGAAGCAGCAGCGGCCCAGGGACCAUGGCCGCCGGCAGGGAGGAUAUGUACCCCAUGUCGCCUUCGGGCCCUAGCCCCUACGAUACCCUCACUCCCAGUGCAUACGAGAGGGACGUCGAGUCCAUCACCCCAGAGGACACCACGGUCACCAACAGCCGCGAGCGCUUCGUGGUGAUGACAUUCAGCGCACUGCUACUUCUCAUCAGCGCCUCGCUGUUCGCCAUUCUCAUCACGCUGCUCUCAG